AUUGAACGCUGGCGGCAGGCCUAACACAUGCAAGUCGAACGAGUGGCGGACGGGUGAGUAAUGUCUGGGACACUGCCUGAUGGAGGGGGAUAACUACUGGAAACGGUAGCUAAUACCGCAUACCAUCGGAUGUGCCCAGAUGGGAUUAGCUAGUAGGUGGGGUAAAGGCUCACCUAGGCGACGAUCCCUAGCUGGUCUGAGAGGAUGACCAGUCACACUGGAACUGAGAAACGGUACAGACUCCGACGGGAGGAAGUAGUGGGGAAUAUUGCACAAUGGGCGCAAGCCGGAUGCAGACAGGCCGCGUGUGUGAAGAAGGCCUUCGGGUUGUAAAGCACUUUCAGCGAGGAGGCGUUACUCGCAGAAGAAGCACCGGCUAACUCCGUGCCAGCCGCCGCGGUAAUUC
rnacentral:rRNA from 1 species